GAUAAGAGCUUGUGUAUUGUGUUAUUAUUGGCUAAUAUAAAAUUUCAAUUGCUAGUAAAAUCUCUUCUAUGUAAAUUAUAAAGAAAUUUUUAAAGUAUUAUAAAAAAUUAAAAUUUUUAUAUUGAGUGUACACUCAAUAAAAUAUUUCUAAAGCCUUCUAAAACCUUUUGUUAAGUAAAAGAAUAAUUUUCUCUAGCAAAAAAAAAAAAAAAUGUUAAGCCUUUGCUACUAAUCUUACUUAUUCAACAACUUAAAAUAUAGAUAAAUAUAAAAAAAUAAAUUAUAGAUAACAUAUACAUUUUUACCAAUGUUUUAUCAAGUUCAUAAGCUAAAACGCCUCCAAAACCUCAGAGUCUAUCUUUUCAUCACUUCUUAGGUUAGCUGCCCAAGAUAACCUUUUAUUCUUAUAAACAAUUUUAUUUAUUUGAUAUAUCAUUAUACAUAUUAAAUUUUAUAAGAUUUAGAAGCUUUAUAUGAGUAUCAUUUGACAAUUUGCCAUAAGAAAAAUAUGUGGAUUUGUUAAAAAUUGUGGGAAACUCUGUAUAAUUUAUGGCCAAAGAAGACAAUAUUAAGGGUCAUGUACAGAAACUUUUUAUAAUUUUUUGUUAACAUUUUUAUUUUAGUAUUAAACAUUAAAUUUUUAUUUACUAUCAC